rnacentral:rRNA from 1 species
UACGUAGGGACCAAGCGUUGUUCGGAAUUACUGGGCGUAAAGCGCACGUAGGCGGCUUUGUAAGUUAGAGGUGAAAGCCCGGGGCUCAACCCCGGAAUUGCCUUUAAGACUGCAUCGCUUGAAUCCAGGAGAGGUGAGUGGAAUUCCGAGUGUAGAGGUGAAAUUCGUAGAUAUUCGGAAGAACACCAGUGGCGAAGGCGGCUCACUGACUGGUAUUGACGCUGAGGUGGCGAAAGCGUGGGGAGCAAACAG